GAUAUAUACUUGGAUUAUAUCGUUAUGGCUAAUGGUAGACAAGGUCCAAAGUUUCUACAUCAAUUACGGACAAAAGCAAUGCCGCAGCACCAAAUGCGAUCAUCUACUCAAGAGCUUUUAAAGCUUGCUAAGUCAGCGAGCAAGCCUACAACAACAGCACAAGCAACAACAUCCUCAUUGCACUCAUCAGUAGAGCAGAUUCUCACUUCCAAUCGUACUCAACCUGCAAAACAUCUCUCUCAACCUCCAAUUCAAUCGUCACCACUUAAGCGAAUGCUACGAUCAUCUUCUGUUCAGGAAGGGUCAACUUCUAUUCAACAAGAAUCUGCUUCAACUAUAAAUGUCACAGAGCCUUCUCAAGUUCAUUCUUCACCGUCUGUGGAUGAGGUCACUAACACUAGUGGUGGUGCAGUUAGCAAGAAAGUGCGUGGUGAGACUCGAUGUCUUGAACUAUCCAAGAGGAAGCGCGAUGGUGUCCAAUUUGAUAUUGAUAUUCCAAAGCAUACCAUGAGAGCUAUAGGAACAAACUGCCAAUUUUACAUUACUGGUAUGGGAUGCUUCGUUCGAAAAAAAUGUUCCAUUACAAAUUAAGAAGUGGUCUGACAUAUCAAGAGAUGAUGUGGCUUUGCUAAUUCGCCAUGUCCGUGAGAAAUUCAAUUUGAGCCAUGAAUCUCAUGUGGAUGAGGCAAUUGAGAAACACAUGAUUAGAUAUUUUACCACAUGGCGCUAUAAUUUGCAUAAGAAGUUUCAGAAAUAUGAAUCAGUAGAGGAAGCAAUGGAGAAUCGACCUGAAGAUGUUGAAGAGGAUGAUUGGAACUACUUAAUUGCAAAUCUGUGGCAAGAUCAAAAGUGGCUGAAAACAAGUGAAAAAAACAAGAAAAACAGGGACAAGUUAGAGAUAACACAUUGUGCAGGGACAAAGGCAUUUAGUCGUCUUAGAACUGAAAAUCGAAAUCCUGAAACUGGAGAGGAAAUUGGUCGUAUUGACCUUUUCAAGCUCACACGAUACAGUGAAAAGAAAUCUGCAUGGGUUGGUGAUACAACAAAGAAUGCUUUUGAAGAGAUGAAAAAUCUACAAAACGAGCCACAAAUGAAUGAAAAAUCUGGUGAAAUAAUGUCUGAAGAUGAGAUCUAUGAUGAAGUGCUUUCCAAAAUUGUUGGUCCACCAUGAUCAAGCUAUAUACGUGGCUUAGGAGCAGGCCCAAAGCCUAAAAGGUCUAAAUUUUCUGCAAAUGAUGCUCAAGUGAGGGAGGCGAAUCAAAGGGCAGAUGAAGCGGAAAGAAGAGCAAUGCAGCUUGCAGAUGAAUUGAUGGCUGUAAAGUCUACUGCAGCUCAGCAAAAUGAGGAGUUAGAGAUGGUCAAAGCUAGUGCAGCUGAACAAAAUGAAGAGUUAGAGGCAGUGAAGGUUAGAGCUGCUCAACAAAAUGAAGAGUUGGAGGCAUUAAAGGCAAGACAAAAUCAGACUGACACACUUUUACUCAAAUUGAUGGCGCAGUUGUCCUCCCAAAAAUGAAGAUUGUGUUUUGCCCAUGUGCUCUUGUUAAUUAAUGCAGAUUUUGCAGAAGACAAAAAAUGUGGUGAGUUGAGCAUAAAUUCUGGGCUUGUUCAAUUCAAACUGCUCUCAUGGUUUUUUGGGCAGUAGUACUGAUUUGUCCCCACAAAACCUUCUCUCACUUUACCUGCAGCUUGGUUUUGAUUCCCACAGAAAGCUGAUAAAGAAGGAAGUUAAAAAGAAAAAGAGAGUUCCUGUCUUUCACUCACUCACAAAAAUAUUCCAGCUCUUUUGAGUAUUCUAUAACAGCUCCUUAAAACCCAGACCUAGCUUAGCUUAGAGUCCUUAGACCAAAAGCACCAAACCCCUUGUUUCAUUUUUUCAAAGCUGAGUUUUUGUUUUGGGUUUUGUCUGGUGUUGAACUUUGACUGUGAACAGUGGGGUUUUGUUUAUUUUGGGUUUUUGGGUUUUGUUGGGUAGCUUUGGUUAUGAUAUUAGCUUGUUUAAGCUUCCAUCAAUAUCUCAGUUUCAUUGCCUACAUGUUGUUGCGAAGUUGUUACAUAGAAGAUUGGUUUCUGGAUAUGACUAAUGGUUAUUUUGCCAUUGCUACCUUCAGAUUGUGUUUUGCCCAUGUGCUCUUGUUAAUUAAUCUAGAUAUACACAAUAUGUACAUGAAAAAAUUGGCAGAUGAAAAGGGCAUCAAGCAACAUACAUAUCAUUGAAGGCUUUUGAACUUCUAGGAAGACUUGUAUGUACUUCCUUUUAUUUUGAAAUGGCUAUCAAGGAUGGAUAUUGACAUUUGUAUAUUUUGGAUGUAGAAAGUUAGUAUUUCAAGAUGGAGGUUGAUGUUUAUUAUUGGAUUGAUAUAAUCAACCCUUGUUAACCAUCAGUUUUACAGUACAUUUUCAUAUGGUGAUUUUGGAAUAUUGAAGGCUACUAUU